GACGAACGCUGGCGGCGUGCUUAACACAUGCCAGUCGAACGGAAAGGCCUGCUUUCCCUUGUGGAUUGCGGGUACUCGAGUGGCGAACGGGUGAGUAACACGUGAGUGAUCUGCCCCCAACUUGGGUAUAAGCCUGGGAAACUGGGUCUAAUUCCCGAUAGGACUGCAGGGUGGUGCCUGUGGUGGAAAACGAUUUUCUAGUGGUUGGGGAUGAGCUCGCGGCCUAUCAGCUUGUUGGUGGGGUAAUGGCCUACCAAGGCGGCGACGGGUAGCCGGCCUGAGAGGGUGGACGGCCACAUUGGGACUGAGAUACGGCCCAGACGCCUACGGGAGGCAGCAGUGGGGAAUAUUGCACAAUGGGCGGAAGCCUGAUGCAGCGACGCCGCGUGGGGGAGGACGGCCUUCGGGUUGUAAACUCCUUUCGACCGCGAGGAAGCCACCUGGUUGGAAGGGUGGUGACGGUAGUGGUAGAAGAAGCACCGGCUAACUACGUGC
rnacentral:rRNA from 1 species